rnacentral:rRNA from 1 species
UACGUAGGGGGCAAGCGUUGUCCGGAAUCAUUGGGCGUAAAGCGUGCGUAGGCGGUUUCUUAAGUCUGUCGUGAAAGCCCUGGGCUCAACCUGGGAAUGGCGAUGGAUACUGGGAGGCUAGAGUGUGAUAGAGGAUGGUGGAAUUCCCGGUGUAGCGGUGAAAUGCGUAGAGAUCGGGAGGAACACCAGUGGCGAAGGCGGCCAUCUGGAUCAACACUGACGCUGAGGCACGAAAGCGUGGGGAGCAAACAGG